rnacentral:rRNA from 1 species
AUUGAACGCUGGCGGCAGACCUAACACAUGCAAGUCGAACGAGUGGCGGACGGGUGAGUAAUGUCUGGGAAACUGCCUGAUGGAGGGGGAUAACUACUGGAAACGGUCGCUAAUACCGCAUACCAUCGGAUGUGCCCAGAUGGGAUUAGCUAGUAGGUGGGGUAAAGGCUCACCUAGGCGACGCACCCUAGCUGGUCUGAGAGGAUGACCAGCCACACGGGAACGGAGACACGGUCCUGUCUCCGACGGGAGGGAGCAGUGGGGAAUAUUGCACAAUGGGCGCAAGCCUGAUGCAGCCAUGCCGCGUGUAUGAAGAAGGCCUUCGGGUUGUAAAGUACGUUCAGCGGGGAGGCGUUAGCCGCAGAAGAAGCACCGGCUAACUCCGUGCCAGCAGCCGCGGUAAUUC